GAGGAAGAAAAGUCGUAACAAGGUUUCCGUAGGUGAACCUGCGGAAGGAUCAUUAUUGAAAUAAACUUGAUGGGUUGUUGCUGGUUCUCCAGGGAGCAUUGUGCACACCUUGUCAUCUUUAUAUCUCCACCUGUGCACUUUUUGUAGACCUUUUCGGGUCUAUGUUGCCUCAUUUUACCCCAAUGUAUGUCAAUAGAAUGUUGUGCCUAUAUAUAAUAUAUACAACUUUCAGCAACGGAUCUCUUGGCUCUCGCAUCGAUGAAGAACGCAGCGAAAUGCGAUAAGUAAUGUGAAUUGCAGAAUUCAGUGAAUCAUCGAAUCUUUGAACGCACCUUGCGCUCCUUGGUAUUCCGAGGAGCAUGCCUGUUUGAGUGUCAUUAAUAUAAUCAACCUCUUCUUGUUUUGAGAAUGGUUUGGAUGUGGGGGUUUGCUGGCCUCUCUCAAAAGGUUCAGCUCCCCUGAAAUGCAUUAGCAGAACAACCUUUGCUCAUUGGUGUGAUAACUAUCUACGCUUAUGAAUACGGAGGGGCAGUUCAGCUUUCUAACGGUCUUUGGACAAUUCAUCAUUAAUGUGACCUCAAAUCAGGUAGGACUACCCGCUGAACUUAAGCAUA
rnacentral:rRNA from 1 species